rnacentral:snRNA from 1 species
GUUGCUUCUUGGCCUUUUGGCUAAGAUCAAGUGUUGUAUCUGUUUAGAAGGCCAAAUUGGGGGCCCAGAUUCUACAUUGGCAAAACACUUCGUUAUUUUUUAAAUUAAUUAAUUUUUUGGGAACAUUU